rnacentral:miRNA from 1 species
CCAAGGGUGGGGUUGUCGGC